CCCGCUGAACUUAAGCAUAUCAGUAAGCGGAGGAAAAGAAAAUAACAAUGAUUACCUCAGUAGCGGCGAGUGAAGAGGUAAAAGCCCAAGAUGUUAAUCCGUAGUAAAGCUAUGGAAUUGUAAUCUAUAGAAUUUCUCAGAAGGGGAAACUUGUCAUAAGUUCUUUGGAACAAGACACCACAGAGGGUGAAAGUCCCGUCUUUGGAUGAGUUGAACUGUAUGAGACGUUUCUAAGAGUCGGGUAGUUUGGGAAUGCUGCCCUAAGUGGGAGAUAAACUUCUCCUAAGGCUAAAUAUAAGAUAGGAGACCGAUAGCAUACAAGUACUGCGAAGGAAAGAUGAAAAGAACUUUGAAAAGAGGGUUAAAAGACUUGAAAUCGUUGAAAAGGAAGCAGUAAAAGAGAAAUUAUAGCCGGCGUAUUAAGUUAUUAGUCUAAGCUUAGGGGUGGAGAAUACUUCAUAGGGUUCUUGCCUUAAAGUGAAAACUAAUGGCGUUGCGCAGGUGAAAGGCAAAAUGGCAUCUUGUUGUAAUAAUAAGGCUGAAAGUUUAUUCUGAGGCUAAAAACUACAAGAAGGUGUGAGGGAUUAGAUAAUGAUUUUGCCAAAAUGGCUUUUACUGACCCGUCUUGAAACACGG
rnacentral:rRNA from 1 species